UAAAGGUCCUCAAUAAAAUGGUUUGAUCCCCCCAAAAUACCGCCCUCUCCCCAAAUAUUCAUAACGGGGAGAAAAAGAGAAAACCUGAGGAGAGAAGAGGAAAGUAGCUAGAAGCACCAAAGCAGCCAAGUUCAGGAACACAACCAAGGUGGGAAGAGUGUGUGACUCAGGCACACCACCACCAGAUGUCGGAACUCUCCCUGCCCCCAGGUGUGUGUGACAGACACCACCAUGAGCACUGCCGUGGGACGCACACUGUCUGCUUCUUACUGCAGGGUUUGUGGUUAUUGUUGUGUUUUUUACUCUGCUUUGUUCUACUCACUCGUAGGUCUCCUGAUGAUAAGGAGCCCUAAAGCACUGUCUGAGAAGAGAAGAGACCCAGCAUUACAAUCCUGCUGCUCCAAUCCUUGCCUAAGUUCCUCGAGGUCAGAGACUUUAUAUAUCAGCAGUAGCUGGCAUUUGCAGGGUACUCAAAUAGAUGCUGGCUGACUAAAAUGAAAAUCAAGCUCAAAUGGAUUGGCAGAUGAUGUCUAAUAAUUGGAACCUGAAUGAGCAGCUGGAAUGCCACAAGCCCCAGGCACAGGUGGUGCAGGAAAGACCAAGGCAGUGUUGGGAAUGAUGCACAAGACCCAGGAACCAGACCCAGCUUGUCCCUGCAACCCCACGAGCUGGCCUGCCAGGCCGCAGGCCUCACGUUCCUGCAUCACCUGGGAGAGUCAUGCCCAUCCACCUACCAGAUCUGAAGCUUAAAUGAGAUGAUGCACAUGAAAGGGCCUUCUAACUUGCCUAUGGUCCCAAGGGCUGAGUCAACGGAGCGGACCUGACGGUGGGUUUAGGACACAGGGAACUGGCAGUUUUGCCUCAAGGGACUUGGAAGGGGCACAGAAAAGGUCAACCAAUCUCGGUGGCACUAAACCCACAACGGGAAGACAGAAAUGCAGUUUUUACAAUUGUCCUCCUCUGCCCACAACAGGAGCAGUAUUUAAUUCCAUUUGUCACUAUUUAUGCCUUUUCGUGGUGUUCUGGCAAGAGGAAUAACGAAUAAGGCACUGGAUGUAGGGCACCUCGACUGUGCGACCUUGGGCUCCCUUUAAUUCUUCGCGCUUCAAUUUUUCUCAUUUAUAAAAUGAGAAUCAAACUUCCUGCCUUAACCAUUCACCCAGUUUUUGUGAGGGUCCAAUUCGAACGUAUGUUCGUGAAACUCCUCCGUAAGCUCCAGAGAGCCUGGCAACUAUUUUCACCAGCAACUAGGCGUCCCUGCUUGCUUGGUUACUCCUUUAGCCUCGACCAUUAUUAACGUUGUGAUUUAUAAUCACAGAAAUAAAUGAAAUCCUAUGGUCA